rnacentral:rRNA from 1 species
GAUGAACGCUAGCUACAGGCUUAACACAUGCAAGUCGAGGGACCGGCGCACGGGUGAGUAACACGUAUCCAACCUGCCCUUUACUCGGGGAUAGCCUUUCGAAAGAAAGAUUAAUAACCAAUGUAAAGGAUGGGGAUGCGUUCCAUUAGGUUGUUGGUGAGGUAACGGCACAGCAAGCCUUCGAUGGAUAGGGGUGAGGAGAGGAAGGACCCCGGCAUUGGAACUGAGACACGGUCCAAACUCCUAGGGGAGGCAGGAGUGAGGAAUAAUUGUCAAUGAGCGUUAGCCUGAAACAGCCAAGUAGCGAGAAGGAUGAUGGGUUAUGGGUCGUAAAUUUCUUAUAUAUAAGAAUAGGUAUUAAAUGAAUAAGGAUCGGCUAACUCCGUGCCAGCAGCCGCGGUAAUAC